CUGUCUUGGCUAAGGUGUCGUGGCUAAGGUGUCUUGGCUAAGGUGUCUUGGCUAAUGUGUCUUGGCUAAUGUGUCUUUAAUAAGGUGUCUUGGCUAAUGUGUCUUGGCUAAGGUGUCUUGGCUAAGGUGUCAUGGCUAAGGUGUCUUGGCUAAGGUGUCUUGGCUAAGGUGUCUUGGCUAAUGUGUCUUGGCUAAGGUGUCUUGGCUAAUGUGUCUUGGCUAAGGUGUCUUGGCUAAGGUGUCUUGGCUAAUGUGUCUUGGCUAAGGUGUCUUGGCUAAGGUGUCUUGGCUAAUGUGUCUUGGCUAAGGUGUCUUGGCUAAGGUGUCUUGGCUAAGGUGUCUUGACUAAUGUGUCUUGGCUAAUGUGUCUUGGCUAAUGUGUCUCGGCUAAGGUGUCUUGGCUAAUGUGUCUUGGCUAAUGUGUCUUGGCUAAGGUGUCUUGGCUAAGGUGUCUUGGCUAAGGUGUCUCGGCUAAUGUGUCUUGGCUAAUGUGUCUUUGCUAAUGUGUCUUGGCUAAGGUGUCUUGGCUAAGGUGUCUUCGCUAAUGUGUCUUGGCUAAGGUGUCUUGGCUAAUGUGUCUUGGCUAAGGUGUCUUGGCUAAUGUGUCUUGGCUAAUGUGUCUUGGCUAAUGUGUCUUGGCUAAUGUGUCUUGGCUAAGGUGUCUUGGCUAAUGUGUCUUGGCGAAUGUGUCUUGGCUAAUGUGUCUUGGCUAAGGUGUCUUCGCUAAGGUGUCUUCGCUAAUGUGUCUUGGCUAAGGUGUCUUGGCUAAGGUGUCUUUGCUAAUGUGUCUUGGCUAAUGUGUCUUGGCUAAGGUGUCUUGGCUAAGGUGUCUUGGCUAAUGUGUCUUGGCUAAUGUGUCUUGGCUAAUGUGUCUUGGAUAAGGUGUCUUGGCUAAUGUGUCUCGGCUAAUGUGUCUUGGCUAAGGUGUCUUGGCUAAUGUGUCUUGACUAAUGUGUCUUGGCUAAUGUGUCUUGGCUAAAGUGUCUCGGCUAAGGUGUCUUGGCUAAUGUGUCUCGGCUAAGGUGUCUUGGCUAAUGUGUCUUGGCUAAUGUGUCUUGGCUAAGGUGUCUUGGCUAAGGUGUCUUGGCUAAGGUGUCUCGGCUAAUGUGUCUUGGCUAAUGUGUCUUGGCUAAGGUGUCUUGGCUAAGGUGUCUUCGCUAAUGUGUCUUGGCUAAUGUGUCUUGGCUAAGGUGUCUUGGCUAAUGUGUCUUGGCUAAUGUGUCUUGGCUAAUGUGUCUUGGCUAAGGUGUCUUGGCUAAUGUGUCUUGGCUAAGGUGUCUUGGCUAAUGUGUCUUGGCUAAGGUGUCUUGGCUAAUGUGUCUUGGCUAAUGUGUCUUGGCUAAUGUGUCUUGGCUAAUGUGUCUUGGCUAAUGUGUCUUGGCUAAUGUGUCUUGGCUAAUGUGUCUUGGCUAAUGUGUCUUGGCUAAGGUGUCUUGGCUAAUGUGUCUUGGCUAAGGUGUCUUGGCUAAGGUGUCUUGGCUAAGGUGUCUCGGCUAAUGUGUCUUGGCCAAUGUGUCUUGGCUAAUGUGUCUUGGCUAAGGUGUCUUGGCUAAUGUGUCUUAUCUAAUGUGUCUUGGCUAAGGUGUCUUGGCUAAUGUGUCUUGGCUAAUGUGUCUUGGCUAAGGUGUCUUGGCUAAUGUGUCUUGGCUAAGGUGUCUUGGCUAAGGUGUCUUGGCUAAUGUGUCUUGGCUAAGGUGUCUUGGCUAAUGUGUCUUAGCUAAGGUGUCUUGGCUAAGGUGUCUUGGCUAAUGUGUCUUGGCUAAGGUGUCUUGGCUAAGGUGUCUUGGCUAAGGUGUCUUGGCUAAUGUGUCUUGGCUAAUGUGUCUUGGCUAAUGUGUCUUGGCUAAGGUGUCUUGGCUAAUGUGUCUUGGCUAAUGUGUCUUGGCUAAGGUGUCUUGGCUAAUGUGUCUUGGCUAAGGUGUCUUGGCUAAGGUGUCUUGGCUAAUGUGUCUUGGCUAAGGUGUCUUGGCUAAGGUGUCUUGGCUAAGGUGUCUUGGCUAGGGUGUCUUGGCUAAGGUGUCUUGGCUAAGGUGUCUUGGCUAAGGUGUCUUGGCUAAGGUGUCUUGGCUAAUGUGUCUUGGCUAAUGUGUCUUGGCUAAUGUGUCUCGGCUAAGGUGUCUCGGCUAAUGUGUCUUGGCUAAUGUGUCUUGGCUAAGGUGUCUUGGCUAAGGUGUCUUGGCUAAGGUGUCUCGGCUAAUGUGUCUUGGCUAAUGUGUCUUGGCUAAGGUGUCUUGGCUAAUGUGUCUUGGCUAAUGUGUCUUGGCUAAGGUGUCUUGGCUAAGGUGUCUUGGCUAAGGUGUCUUGGCUAAUGUGUCUUGGCUAAUGUGUCUCGGCUAAGGUGUCUCGGCUAAUGUGUCUUGGCUAAUGUGUCUUGGCUAAGGUGUCUUGGCUAAGGUGUCUUGGCUAAGGUGUCUCGGCUAAUGUGUCUUGGCUAAUGUGUCUUGGCUAAUGUGUCUUGGCUAAGGUGUCUUGGCUAAGGUGUCUCGGCUAAUGUGUCUUGGCUAAUGUGUCUUGGCUAAGGUGUCUUGGCUAAGGUGUCUUGGCUAAGGUGUCUUGGCUAAUGUGUCUUGGCUAAUGUGUCUUGGCUAAUGUGUCUUGGCUAAGGUGUCUUGGCUAAUGUGUCUUGGCUAAUGUGUCUUGGCUAAGGUGUCUUGGCUAAUGUGUCUUGGCUAAGGUGUCUUGGCUAAGGUGUCUUGGCUAAGGUGUCUUGGCUAAGGUGUCUUGGCUAAGGUGUCUUGGCUAAGGUGUCUUGGCUAAUGUGUCUUGGCUAAUGUGUCUUGGCUAAGGUGUCUUGGCUAAGGUGUCUUGGCUAAGGUGUCUUGGCUAAUGUGUCUUGGCUAAUGUGUCUUGGCUAAUGUGUCUCGGCUAAGGUGUCUCGGCUAAUGUGUCUUGGCUAAUGUUUCUUGGCUAAGGUGUCUUGGCUAAGGUGUCUUGGCUAAGGUGUCUCGGCUAAUGUGUCUUGGCUAAUGUGUCUUGGCUAAUGUGUCUUGGCUAAGGUGUCUUGGCUAAGGUGUCUCGGCUAAUGUGUCUUGGCUAAUGUGUCUUGGCUAAGGUGUCUUGGCUAAUGUGUCUUGGCUAAGGUGUCUUGGCUAAGGUGUCUUGGCUAAGGUGUCUUGGCUAAGGUGUCUUGGCUAAUGUGUCUUGGCUAAUGUGUCUUGGCUAAGGUGUCUUGGCUAAUGUGUCUUGGCUAAGGUGUCUUGACUAAUGUGUCUUGGCUAAUGUGUCUUGGCUAAUGUGUCUUGGCUAAGGUGUCUUGGCUAAUGUGUCUUGGCUAAGGUGUCUUGGCUAAUGUGUCUUGGCUAAGGUGUCUUGGCUAAGGUGUCUUGGCUAAGGUGUCUUGGCUAAUGUGUCUUGGCUAAUGUGUCUUGGCUAAGGUGUCUUGGCUAAGGUGUCUUGGCUAAGGUGUCUUGGCUAAUGUGUCUUGGCUAAUGUGUCUUGGCUAAUGUGUCUUGGCUAAGGUGUCUUGGCUAAUGUGUCUUGGCUAAUGUGUCUUGGCUAAGGUGUCUUGGCUAAGGUGUCUUGGCUAAGGUGUCUCGGCUAAUGUGUCUUGGCUAAUGUGUCUUGGCUAAGGUGUCUUCGCUAAUGUGUCUCGGCUAAGGUGUCUUGGCUAAUGUGUCUUGGCUAAGGUGUCUUGGCUAAUGUGUCUUGGCUAAGGUGUCUUGGCUAAAGUGUCUUGGCUAAUGUGUCUUGGCUAAUGUGUCUUGGCUAAGGUGUCUUGGCUAAGGUGUCAUGGCUAAUGUGUCUUGGCUAAUGUGUCUUGGCUAAUGUGUCUUGGCUAAUGUGUCUUGGCUAAGGUGUCUUGGCUAAUGUGUCUUGGCUAAUGUGUCUUGGCUAAGGUGUCUUGGCUAAUGUGUCUUGGCUAAUGUGUCUUGGCUAAUGUGUCUUGGCUAAGGUGUCUUGGCUAAUGUGUCUUGGCUAAGGUGUCUUGGCUAAUGUGUCUUGGCUAAGGUGUCUUGGCUAAUGUGUCUUGGCUAAGGUGUCUUCGCUAAGGUGUCUUGGCUAAUGUGUCUUGGCUAAGGUGUCUUGGCUAAGGUGUCUUGGCUAAGGUGUCUUGGCUAAGGUGUCUUGGCUAAUGUGUCUUGGCUAAGGUGUCUUCGCUAAUGUGUCUUGGCUAAAGUGUCUUGGCUAAUGUGUCUUGGCUUAGGUGUCUUGGCUAAUGUGUCUUGGCUAAGGUGUCUUGGCUAAGGUGUCUUGGCUAAGGGGUCUUGGCUAAGGUGUCUUGGCUAAUGUGUCUUGGCUAAGGUGUCUUGGCUAAUGUGUCUUGGCUAAGGUGUCUUGGCUAAGGUGUCUUGGCUAAGGUGUCUUGGCUAAUGUGUCUUGGCUAAGGUGUCUUGGCUAAUGUGUCUUGGCUAAUGUGUCUUGGCUAAGGUGUCUUGGCUAAUGUGUCUUGGCUAAGGUGUCUUGGCUAAGGUGUCUCGGCUAAUGUGUCUCGGCUAAUGUGUCUUGGCUAAGGUGUCUUGGCUAAGGUGUCUUGGCUAAUGUGUCUUUUCUAAGGUGUCUUGGCUAAUGUAUCUUGGCUAAUGUGUCUUGGCUAAUGUGUCUUGGCUAAGGUGUCUUGGCUAAGGUGUCUUGGCUAAUGUGUCUUAGCUAAGGUGUCUUGGCUAAGGUGUCUUGGCUAAUGUGUCUUGGCUAAGGUGUCUUGGCUAAGGUGUCUUGGCUAAGGUGUCUCGGCUAAUGUGUCUUGGCUAAUGUGUCUUGGCUAAGGUGUCUUGGCUAAGGUGUCUUGGCUAAUGUGUCUUGGCUAAUGUGUCUUGGCUAAGGUGUCUUGGGUAAUGUGUCUUGGCUAAGGUGUCUUGGCUAAUGUGUCUCGGCUAAUGUGUCUUGGCUAAGGUGUCUUGGCUAAGGUGUCUUGGCUGAGGUGUCUUGGCUAAGGUGUCUCGGCUAAUGUGUCUUGGCUAAUGUGUCUUGGCUAAGGUGUCUUGGCUAAUGUGUCUUGGCUAAGGUGUCUUGGCUAAUAUGUCUUGGCUAAUGUGUCUUGGCUAAGGUGUCUUGGCUAAGGUGUCUUGGCUAAGGUGUCUUGGCUAAGGUGUCUCGGCUAAUGUGUCUUGGCUAAUGUGUCUUGGCUAAGGUGUCUUGGCUAAUGUGUCUUGGCUAAUGUGUCUUGGCUAAGGUGUCUUGGCUAAUGUGUCUUGGCUAAUGUGUCUUGGCUAAUGUGUCUUGGCUAAUGUGUCUUGGCUAAGGUGUCUUGGCUAAGGUGUCUUGGCUAAUGUGUCUUGGCUAAUGUGUCUUGGCUAAUGUGUCUUGGCUAAGGUGUCUUGGCUAAGGUGUCUUGGCUAAGGUGUCUUGGCUAAUGUGUCUUGGCUAAUGUGUCUUGGCUAAGGUGUCUUGGCUAAGGUGUCUUGGCUAAGGUGUCUUGGCUAAGGUGUCUUGGCUAAGGUGUCUUGGCUAAGGUGUCUUGGCUAAUGUGUCUUGGCUAAUGUGUCUUGGCUAAGGUGUCUUGGCUAAGGUGUAUUGGCUAAGGUGUCUUGGCUAAGGUGUCUUGGCUAAGGUGUCUUCGCUAAUGUGUCUUGGCUAAGGUGUCUUGGCUAAUGUGUCUUGGCUAAGGUGUCUUGGCUAAUGUGUCUUGGCUAAGGUGUCUUGGCUAAGGUGUCUUGGCUAAUGUGUCUUGGCUAAGGUGUCUUGGCUAAGGUGUCUUGGCUAAGGUGUCUUGGCUAAUGUGUCUUGGCUAAGGUGUCUUGGCUAAUGUGUCUUGGCUAAGGUGUCUUGGCUAAUGUGUCUUGGCUAAGGUGUCUUGGCUAAGGUGUCUUGGCUAAUGUGUCUCGGCUAAUGUGUCUUGGCUAAUGUGUCUUGGCUAAGGUGUCUUGGCUAAUGUGUCUUGGCUAAUGUGUCUUGGCUAAGGUGUCUUGGCUAAUGUGUCUUGGCUAAUGUGUCUUGGCUAAGGUGUCUUGGCUAAUGUGUCUUGGCUAAUGUGUCUUGGCUAAGGUGUCUUGGCUAAUGUGUCUUGGCUAAUGUGUCUUGGCUAAUGUGUCUUGGCUAAGGUGUCUUGGCUAAGGUGUCUUGGCUAAGGUGUCUUGGCUAAUGUGUCUUGGCUAUUGUGUCUUGGCUAAGGUGUCUUGGCUAAUGUGUCUUGGCUAAGAUGUCUUGGCUAAUGUGUCUUGGCUAAUGUGUCUUGGCUAAUGUGUCUUGGCUAAUGUGUCUUGGCUAAGGUGUCUUGGCUAAGGUGUCAUGGCUAAUGUGUCUUGGCUAAUGUGUCUUGGCUAAUGUGUCUUGGCUAAGGUGUCUUGGCUAAGGUGUCUUGGCUAAGGUGUCUCGGCUAAUGUGUCUUGGCUAAUGUGUCUUGGCUAAUGUGUCUUUGCUAAUGUGUCUUGGCUAAUGUGUCUUGGCUAAGGUGUCUUGGCUAAUGUGUCUCGGCUAAUGUGUCUUGGCUAAUGUGUCUUGGCUAAUGUGUCUUGGCUAAGGUGUCUUGGCUAAUGUGUCUUGGCUAAGGUGUCUUGGCUAAGGUGUCUUGGCUAAGGUGUCUUGGCUAAUGUGUCUUGGCUAAGGUGUCUUGGCUAAUGUGUCUUGGCUAAGGUGUCUUCGCUAAGGUGUCUUGGCUAAUGUGUCUCGGCUAAGGUGUAUUGGCUAAGGUGUCUUGGCUAAGGUGUCUUGGCUAAGGUGUCUUGGCUAAUGUGUCUUGGCUAAGGUGUCUUGGCUAAUGUGUCUUGGCUAAGGUGUCUUGGCUAAGGUGUCUUGGCUAAUGUGUCUUGGCUAAGGUGUCUUGGCUAAGGUGUCUUGGCUAAUGUGUCUUGGCUAAUGUGUCUUGGCUAAGGUGUCUUGGCUAAGGUGUCUUGGCUAAUGUGUCUUGGCUAAGGUGUCUUGGCUAAUGUGUCUUGGCUAAGGUGUCUUGGCUAAUGUGUCUUGGCUAAUGUGUCUUGGCUAAUGUGUCUUGGCUAAGGUGUCUUGGCUAAGGUGUCUUGGCUAAUGUGUCUUGGCUAAUGUGUCUUGGCUAAUGUGUCUUGGCUAAGGUGUCUUGGCUAAGGUGUCUUGGCUAAUGUGUCUUGGCUAAUGUGUCUUGGCUAAUGUGUCUUGGCUAAGGUGUCUUGGCUAAGGUGUCUUGGCUAAGGUGUCUUGGCUAAGGUGUCUUGGCUAAUGUGUCUUGGCUAAGGUGUCUUGGCUAAUGUGUCUUGGCUAAUGUGUCUUGGCUAAGGUGUCUUGGCUAAGGUGUAUUGGCUAAGGUGUCUUGGCUAAGGUGUCUUGGCUAAGGUGUCUUCGCUAAUGUGUCUUGGCUAAGGUGUCUUGGCUAAUGUGUCUUGGCUAAGGUGUCUUGGCUAAUGUGUCUUGGCUAAGGUGUCUUGGCUAAGGUGUCUUGGCUAAUGUGUCUUGGCUAAGGUGUCUUGGCUAAGGUGUCUUGGCUAAGGUGUCUUGGCUAAUGUGUCUUGGCUAAGGUGUCUUGGCUAAUGUGUCUCGGCUAAUGUGUCUUGGCUAAUGUGUCUUGGCUAAGGUGUCUUGGCUAAGGUGUCUUGGCUAAUGUGUCUUGGCUAAUGUGUCUUGGCUAAUGUGUCUUGGCUAAGGUGUCUUGGCUAAUGUGUCUUGGCUAAGGUGUCUUGGCUAAGGUGUCUUGGCUAAUGUGUCUCGGCUAAUGUGUCUUGGCUAAUGUGUCUUGGCUAAGGUGUCUUGGCUAAUGUGUCUUGGCUAAUGUGUCUUGGCUAAGGUGUCUUGGCUAAUGUGUCUUGGCUAAUAUGUCUUGGCUAAGGUGUCUUGGCUAAUGUGUCUUGGCUAAUGUGUCUUGGCUAAGGUGUCUUGGCUAAUGUGUCUUGGCUAAUGUGUCUUGGCUAAUGUGUCUUGGCUAAGGUGUCUUGGCUAAGGUGUCUUGGCUAAGGUGUCUUGGCUAAUGUGUCUUGGUUAUUGUGUCUUGGCUAAGGUGU